rnacentral:rRNA from 1 species
GACGAGCCACCCGAACGUUGUUCGGAAUAACUGGGCUUAAAGGGAGCGUAGGCGGGCUAACAAGUCUGGGGUGAAAUCCCGGCGGCUCAACCGUGGAACUGCCUCAGAUACUGUCGGCCUCGAGGGAGAUAGGGGCAUGCGGAACUAACGGUGGAGCGGUGAAAUGCGUUGAUAUCGUUAGGAACUCCGGUGGCGAAGCGGCGUGCUGGAUCUCUUCUGACGCUGAGGCUCGAAAGCUAGGG